ACGACCUUACUUGAUUAGGAUCUGUUCUAUAUGAUCGUACCUCUGUAUCCUUGAGUGUUCUAAGAAGAUAUGAAUCAAAGUCUAGUUAAAAAAUCAUGAGUGCACGAUCAUAGUGUGAUUAAUAGUUGGUGAUCUACUGAGCUAGAUCAUCCAGCCGUAGAAGAUCGUUAUCAGUUUAAUAUCUGACAACUGAGAUGGUCGUGCGGUUUCCGACAUACU
rnacentral:snoRNA from 1 species